rnacentral:rRNA from 1 species
AGACGGGGACCCGCACAAGCGGUGGAUGAUGUGGUUUAAUUCGAUGCAACGCGAAAACCUUACCCACCUUUGACAUGUAUGGAAGUUUCCAGAGAUGGAUUCGUGCUCGAAAGAGAGCCAUAACACAGGUGCUGCAUGGCUGUCGUCAGCUCGUGUCGUGAGAUGUUGGGUUAAGUCCCGCAACGAGCGCAACCCUUGUCAUUAGUUGCUACAUUCAGUUGGGCACUCUAAUGAGACUGCCGGUGACAAACCGGAGGAAGGUGGGGAUGACGUCAAGUCCUCAUGGCCCUUAUAGGUGGGGCUACACACGUCAUACAAUGGCCGGUACAAAGGGUCGCAAACCCGCGAGGGGGAGCCAAUCCAUCAAAGCCGGUCGUAGUCCGGAUCGCAGUCUGCAACUCGACUGCGUGAAGUCGGAAUCGCUAGUAAUCGUGGAUCAGCAUGUCACGGUGAAUACGUUCCCGGGUCUU